UACGGAGGGGGCUAGCGUUGUUCGGAAUCACUGGGCGUAAAGCGCACGUAGGCGGAUUUGUCAGUCAGAGGUGAAAGGCCAGGGCUCAACCCUGGAACUGCCUUUGAUACUGCAAAUCUUGAAUCCGGGAGAGGGUGGCGGAAUUCCAAGUGUAGAGGUGAAAUUCGUAGAUAUUUGGAAGAACACCGGUGGCGAAGGCGGCCACCUGGACCGGUAUUGACGCUGAGGUGCGAAAGCGUGGGGAGCGAACAGG
rnacentral:rRNA from 1 species